CACUCUGGCCUUGACACGCCUCAGGUGGAUUGAGUCAGAAGUUACUCUGAGGACCUCCUGGAGGCCAGGAGGGCCAGGGGAAGGUGGGGGUCACUUGCUUACCAGCUUGACUUCUGCCUUGCACCCUGCACAUUGUCACCCUCAGCUUCUACCCAGCCUGGCAUCUAGAGAAAUGAAACUGUCUUUGCAUAAAAGGAAGCAGGGGAGGAGUUCCCGGAAGUGUGAUUGCAAACCUGAAAACACCCAAACCAGUCUUUCAUCACCAUCUGGAGGACAAGAGCUUGAGGAGAAACAGAAGGCAAAGUGUCGCCUCUGAGAGGCUGGGCUCUCUCCCUGGUGCAUGCUGGGAGAACGUGCUGCGGCCUCCUUGCCUCUGACCUAGGCUACUGGCUGAAGACUUGCAGCCCAGCUGGACUGAUAAGGAAACUGAGGCCACAGAGCAGGUCACAGAUACAAGAAAUCUGUCUACUCCAAGAAGAUGUGCCAGGUGUAUGGGAAGAUGAACAACAAUGGCGCCUGAGACCACACAUGGUGGCACAUGGAUGAGCCAAGUGUGGUCAUGCAUAUGUGUAGACCCAGCAUUCGGGAAGCUGAGGCAGGAGGAUCUUGAGUUCAAAGCCAGCCUGGACAACACAGAGAGACCCUGUCUCAAAAAAAGGGGAGGUCUAUUCCGGCCCCUGUCUGACAGUGCAAUGGAGACUUGCCUCUGUGAUGUGAUCUUGUCCUUGUACUUCCUGCCAAGAAUUGGAAUUCGUUGGUGUGGAGCUCUUUUUCCCUGGAAAGGACCAGAACCAGGGCUUGCUUUAUUUCUUUUAUUGUCUUACUAUUCAGUCUUAAUUUUGAUCCUUUGCAAGUAGAAGAUAAUCUAUAUUCUUCUGGGUGUGAAAAAGUAAGAUGAAUAAUGAGAGUGACUAGGUCGGAAUCAAUCCUUCUAUUCAUAUACGGAGCAAAUUUUUUAUAGCAAAACAUUUAUUGGUACAUUUUAGACAUCCAUAAUGAUAACACUCAUCAUAGGUACACAGCAAAUAUUCAGUGAGCACCUAUUUUGUGUCAGAUAAAUUGGCAGAUAAUUACUAAGAACUAAGGUCACAAAGAGAGUGACUUUUAUGUGCACUUUCCUUAUUUUAUUUUUGAGGCAAAACCUCGCUUGUUGUCCAAGCCAGCCUUGAAUACCUGGGCUCAAUUGAGCCCCCUGCCUCAGCCACCUUAACAGUGA